CUAGAUCUUGUUCUACCAAUACAUGUUUUUCCCACUCUAUCCACAGUUCAUUUAGUCCUAGAAGUAGUAGCUCUGGCACAUCUACAGAAAGAAGAAUGUCUUCAGAGUCUGAUUCAAAGCUUGAGGAAGACAGCUUAUAUUUUCAAACGAGUAAGGACAGAAGCUGAAGCAUCAAGGAAUGAAGCAUUUGAAGAACUGUUGAAGCGCAAAAAAUUGAAAUUCCAAACUUUGGAAGCCAUAAGCAAGGUCAAAAUCUUUGACUCUGCCUAUGCAAAUGAAGUUAAACUCAGAAAAGAAGCUGAGAAUGCUCUAAGGAAUACAAUAGAGGAACGAGAAAAACUCUUGGAAGAGAAAGAGGAAGUAACUAAAGAGCGACAAAGGGCCAUGAGAAAUGUUGCUCUUCUAGACAGUCGUGUACAAGAAUCAAAUCGUAGGCGGGAUGAUGCUGCUGGAGAAUUGCAACUUGUUCAAGCGUCCAUUGCAUCUCUGCGGCAGGAAAAGCAGACUAUCCGACGGCAGAAAAUGGAAGCUGCACAUUGGCUUGAGCGAUGGAAAAAUCGUGGGCAAGCUGGAGCUCCUAACUGUAAUGGGUUGCUUGGGUUUGUUGAAGAGUUGCCUGAGUUGGCGGAAUUUUCAGUAUCUGAUUUGCAAACCGCAACGUGCAAUUUCUCUGAGAGCUUCAAACUUGGGCAGGGAGGAUAUGG
rnacentral:misc_RNA from 1 species